rnacentral:lncRNA from 1 species
GGAAAGUCAUUAUUAAGGGUGAUCUAAUGGCCCUUGUUUUUUCUAUUUUUAUUUUGAUUUUUGAUUUUAUGUUUAAUCCUUUUUUUUAAUUCAUAUUAAUUUCAUUUUUAAUCCAAAAAAUAUGUGACUUUCACCAAAAAUCUUUAAAUAUUUUUCUCUUUCAUAUUCUGAAUUAAAAUUAUUUUUUGGAUCAAUUUUGAUAUUUUUCAUCAAUUAAAUAUUUUUGUGCAUAUUUUUAAUUAUUUAAAAAUACUUAUGACUUUUCAAAAAUCA